rnacentral:sRNA from 1 species
UCCCUCCUGAAGCUGUACGCUCCGGGGAAGAAGGCAACCUUCCUCAAUAGGAGGAGGACUGUCCUUCAGUCAAGGGUAUCUGAGCGGCUGUGCUCCCUUGCUAGAAGCUCCAAACAAGCUCUCAAAAAACUACUUGAGUCGUUGAGU